ACAAGAAGAAAGGGUUUUGCUUCCUGGUUCUGGUGUGCAAGCUGGGCAGGUGCUUACAGCACAGGUGGCAAUCAGCACCCAGCAGCCAGCAGCUUCCUCCGGGACCCCCCUUCAGUGUUUCUGGAGCUGUGCUCUUGAUGAGACAUCUCCCUGAAAAGCUUUCCCUGGCACCCCAGAGAAUGGAUUUCUGAUAGUUGCUGGAAAUUUCUGCCAUUCUUAAACAAAGCAUCUUUGUGCUGUAUCAGCUUGCAUUUUCCUUGGAUUGUAUUUGGAUGAUGCCUUUUCACUGACUUCAGCACUGGAGUAUUGUAGCCAUGGCUUUAGUAACUUACCAGCUGCCAGAUGUGUCGAUGUCAUUUAAUUCUUAUGCCACCUCUAUGAGGUUGAAUAUUACCUUUAAGGAAACAACAGCGGGGGCCGGCCCCUUGGCACAGUGGUAAAGUUCGCAUGCUCUGCUUUGGUGGCCUGGGGUUUCGCCGGUUUGGAUCCUGGGCAUGGACACAGCACCGCUCAUCAGGCCACGCUGAGGUGGUGUCCCACAUGCCACAACUAGAAGGACCCACAACCAAAAUAUGCAACUAUGUACUGGGGGGAUUUGGGGAGAAAAAGCAGAAAUAAAAAAAAAUAAGAUUGGC
rnacentral:lncRNA from 1 species